AACACGUGGGAAUUCUGGGAGCUACAAUUCAAGAAGAGAUUUGGGUGAGGACACAGCCAAAACAUAUCAAGGAUUGUGGUAAUGUUCUUUAUUUGAUACCGUUUUGGGUUACACAUAUGUAUACUUUUGUCAAAAUUCGGUAAAUACAUGCUUAAAAAUUUUACAUUUCAUCAUUUGUAAAUUUUACACCAAAAGGAAAAAAAAAGAUACCAAAUUCUAGUUAAUGUACGUUGAGUUACUGAUGUCUGCAAUUUACUCUGAAAUGCCUGAAACAUAAGGUAGAUUAGUGGAUGGAUCUAUGGGUAGACAUGAGAUAAAACAAGACUCCAAGUUGGUGAAGAUACAGUUGUUCACUGUAAAGUUUUUUCAACUUUACUGUAUGUUCACAAAUGUUCAUAAUAAAAUAUCAACCCAAACCGUCUUCAUCCCUCCUCCUCUGUGACAGCAUCAGCCUGAGAAAUCCACAGUGGGAAGGGAGAGGUGGGCAGUGUGUUUGGUUUUGACCAUCCACCCUCACUCCUUAGCAGUGGUUUCUGACUCUUUUGGGUUGGCUAGGAGCAGGGAGAAAGGAGAGACAGAGGAACAGAUAGGGCCUUAUUGAAUAGUUCAGCUGUAUUAUGGUGUCACAUUUUGGGAGCAGGCACACAGUUUUUGGCCCUUUCUCGUGGGUUCCUGAGAAAUUCUCCUGGUAGGGAUCUCUGACAGCAGUUCACUACCUCAGGGAAUACAUUUUCUGGGAAGCCACUAAGAGCCUUCCUACCACCUGCCUCUGGGGGUCCGGGGCAGCCUCGUCCUCACCCCUGGCAGGAAGCUUUUCAGGGCAGAGUCUUUCUUAACAUCAGUGGUUCUUUCUCUAUUAUGGAAUUCCUAUUUGGCCCAUAGAAAACAUGCACACACCUUUCCUUGGCUUAACUUGAAGUACGGGCCACUCCCAGCUCCAAACUUUAUCGCUUCUGUCUGCCCCGUUAUUCCAACUUGGCCACAGCCAAUGUUUAGAUUUUAUUCAGAUGGGAUAGCAGUUCCCGAGUUCUCCAGCCUUCAGGGACGUGAGCUAAUCAGUUUGAAUGGUUAAUUAGAAGUUCCUGUUCAGGCAGCUCAUUAGCUUUAAAAUGAAGCAGAAGCAUUUUCCCAUCCAUGAGCAUUGGGUAAGGAGGGAGUUCAUACAGCACACAACCCUUUCGAAAGUCUUCAGUGUAAUUAAAAAAAAAAAAAAAAAA